UACGGAGGGUGCAAGCGUUAUCCGGAUUCACUGGGUUAAAGGGUGCGUAGGUGGGCAGUUAAGUCAGUGGUGAAAUCUCCGGGCUCAACCCGGAAACUGCCAUUGAUACUAUCUGUCUUGAAUAUCGUGGAGGUAAGCGGAAUAUGUCAUGUAGCGGUGAAAUGCUUAGAUAUGACAUAGAACACCAAUUGCGAAGGCAGCUUACUACCCGAAUAUUGACACUGAGGCACGAAAGCGUGGGGAUCAAACAGG
rnacentral:rRNA from 1 species